UACAUCUCAUUUUUCUCUGUUUUGUCAGUAGUUGUUUUUGGUAUUAUUCGUGCAACGUGGAAGCUAACUUAGUGGUUUGGUGUUCGUACAAAAAAGCAUUCCUAAAGAUCAUCUUAGUACUCUCAACCCGUAACCGCAAAUAGAAUAGCAGCAAUCUUAAGCAUGGACUUAAGUCAACUGAAUCAAACCUGUCUUGCAGAAGGUGAUUUUGAGCAGCCGAUUGUCAAACUGCAUGAAUUGCCGAUAGGCGUUCCGUUUAAAAUUACUAGAGCCAAAAUUGUUAAUACAAAAUUUGGCAAUUCCGUGUUGCUGCAAUUAGAAAAUUCCGUAGUAUUUCUUCCUACUCGCGUGACAGAAGCUUUCCGUCCGAGACUAGAACACUUUGCGUCGGGGCAGUACAAACUGGUCUACGAGGGAUCCAAAGAUAUUGGAAAGCCCAACUCUUUAAAGAAAUUCAAAAUAAUUCAAAAUUAAUCAACAUAUUAUACAGGAUUAUGGUCAAACAACUUACAUUAGAAAGCCUUUGUAUUAUAACAAUUUGCGAAAAUAUUAGGUGUAGUGCUGAUUUUUUGCGUGAGUCACCUUUGCCUUGGAAACUAACGAUACUAAUAUUUAAAUAUUAUUCGAAAUAUAGAUGGAG